rnacentral:rRNA from 1 species
GAUCCUGGCUCAGGAUGAACGCUAGCUACAGGCUUAACACAUGCAAGUCGAGGGGCAGCAUGAACUUAGCUUGCUAAGUUUGAUGGCGACCGGCGCACGGGUGAGUAACACGUAUCCAACCUGCCGAUGACUCGGGGAUAGCCUUUCGAAAGAAAGAUUAAUACCGAUGGCAUAGUUCUUCCGCAUGGUGGAACUAUUAAAGAAUUUCGGUUCAUCGAUGGGGAUGCGUUCCAUUAGGUUGG